ACUCCUACGGGAGGCAGCAGUAAGGAAUAUUGGUCAAUGGGGGCAACCCUGAACCAGCCAUGCCGCGUGCAGGAAGACGGCCCUCUGGGUUGUAAACUGCUUUUAUCCGGGAAUAAACCCCCUUACGUGUAAGGGGCUGAAUGUACCGGAAGAAUAAGGAUCGGCUAACUCCGUGCCAGCAGCCGCGGUAAUACGGAGGAUCCAAGCGUUAUCCGGAUUUAUUGGGUUUAAAGGGUGCGUAGGCGGCCUGUUAAGUCAGGGGUGAAAGACGGUGGCUCAACCAUCGCAGUGCCUUUGAUACUGACGGGCUUGAAUACACUUGAAGUAGGCGGAAUGUGACAAGUAGCGGUGAAAUGCAUAGAUAUGUCACAGAACACCGAUUGCGAAGGCAGCUUACUAAGGUGCAAUUGACGCUGAGGCACGAAAGCGUGGGGAUCAAACAGGAUUAGAUACCCUGGUAGUCCACGCCCUAAACGAUGAAUACUCGAUGUUAGCGAUAUACAGUUAGCGUCUAAGCGAAAGCGUUAAGUAUUCCACCUGGGGAGUACGCCCGCAAGGGUAAAACUCAAAGGAAUUGACGGGGGCCCGCACAAGCGGAGGAGCAUGUGG
rnacentral:rRNA from 1 species